rnacentral:rRNA from 1 species
GACGAACGCUGGCGGCGUGCUUAACACAUGCAAGUCGAGCGAUGAAACACCUUCGGGUGUGAAUUAGCGGCGAACGGGUGAGGAACACGUGAGAAAUCUGCCUUCAACACUGGGAUAACUCCGGGAAACCGGGGCUAAUACCGGAUAUGAAAUCUGCGGGCAUCCGCGGAUUUGGAAAGUUUUUCGGUUGAAGAUGAUCUCGCGGCCUAUCAGCUUGUUGGUGAGGUAAUGGCUCACCAAGGCGACGACGGGUAGCCGGCCUGAGAGGGCGACCGGCCACACUGGGACUGAGACACGGCCCAGACUCCUACGGGAGGCAGCAGUGGGGAAUAUUGGGCAAUGGAGGAAACUCUGACCCAGCGACGCCGCGUGCGGGAUGAAGGCCUUCGGGUUGUAAACCGCUUUCAGCAGGGAAGAAGCGAAAGUGACGGUACCUGCAGAAGAAGCACCGGCUAACUAUGUGCCAGCAGCCGCGGUAAUACAUAGGGUGCAAGCGUUGUCCGGAAUUAUUGGGCGUAAAGAGCUCGUAGGUGGUUCGUCACGUCGGAUGUGAAACUCUGGGGCUUAACCCCAGACCUGCAUUCGAUACGGGCGAGCUUGAGUAUGGUAGGGGAGUCUGGAAUUCCUGGUGUAGCGGUGGAAUGCGCCAGAAUAUUCAGGAGGACACCCAUGGCGAAGGCAGGACUCUGGCCAUUACUGACACUGAGGGAGCGAAAGCGUGGGGAGGCGACAGGAUUAGAUACCCUGGUAGUCCACGCCGUAACGGUGGGCACUAGUUGUGGGGACCUUCACGGUCUCUGCGACGCAGCUAACGCAUUAAGUGCCCCGCCUGGGGAGUACGAUCGCAAGAUUAAAACUCAAAGGAAUUGACGGGGACCCGCACAAGCGGUGGAUGAUGUGGAUUAAUUCGAUGCAACGCGAAAAACCUUACCUACCCUUGACAUGUCACUAACGAAGUAGAGAUACAUUAGGUGCUCGUAAGAGAAAGUGAACACAGGUGCUGCAUGGCUGUCGUCAGCUCGUGUCGUGAGAUGUUGGGUUAAGUCCCGCAACGAGCGCAACCCUUGUCUUUAGUUGCUACGCAAGAGCACUCUAAAGAGACUGCCGGUGACAAACCGGAGGAAGGUGGGGAUGACGUCAAGUCCUCAUGGCCCUUAUGGGUAGGGCUUCACACGUCAUACAAUGGUGCAUACAGAGGGUUGCCAACCCGCGAGGGGGAGCUAAUCUCAGAAAAUGCAUCGUAGUCCGGAUCGUAGUCUGCAACUCGACUACGUGAAGCUGGAAUCGCUAGUAAUCGCGGAUCAGAAUGUCGCGGUGAAUACGUUCCCGGGUCUUGUACACACCGCCCGUCAUACCAUGGGAGUGGGUUUUGCCAGAAGCCGUUAGCCUAACCGCAAGGGGGGCGACUGCCACGGCAGGGUUCAUGACUGGGGUA